rnacentral:rRNA from 1 species
AGUGGCGGACGGGUGAGUAACGCGUGGGUAACCUGCCUCACACAGGGGGAUAACAGUUGGAAACGGCUGCUAAUACCGCAUAAGCGCACAGGGUCGCAUGACCUGGUGUGAAAAACUCCGGUGGUAUGAGAUGGACCCGCGUCUGAUUAGCCAGUUGGUGGGGUAACGGCCUACCAAAGCGACGAUCAGUAGCCGACCUGAGAGGGUGACCGGCCACAUUGGGACUGAGACACGGCCCAAACUCCUACGGGAGGCAGCAUG